GGCUCUGCAAGUCUUCAGGUUGUGACAACUGCCUUAGCCCCAUGGUAGCCAACACGCUUGAUGACGUACGCAGGGAAGGAGGACUGACUUGCUCUGGCCUGUGCUUUGAGAAGUGUUUUUCCAUCACAGAGGAGGCUGAAUAGGAGAGUAAGUUUACGUCAUGGUGGCCAGGAAGCAGAGCGGGGACCACACUGGAAGAUAUAACCCCAAGGCUACACUCCCAGCUUGAGCCUAUCUAACUUUUUAAGCACUUCCUAAUAAAGCCACCAUCUCUUUAAUGCAUCAAGGGGUGAAUCUUUCGCUUAAGUCAGAAUCCCCGUAAUCUAAUUAUCCACAGAAAUUCCCUCAGAGACACGCCCAGAAGUGCUAACCUCCAGGGCAACUCUAAAUCCAGGAGGAUUAAUCCGAUCCAACCAUGAUUAAUUAAUCGAGACCAAUCAUCACACCUGUUUAUUUGAGCUUUCUUUUCUCUUCUUCUGGGAGACAUUAAAGGUGAGACAGGACUGGCCCUGUGGAAGGGAAAGAAAGUUGUUAGAGUCCCCAGCCUGGGUACACAGUCUAAAAAAAGAGAAAUCUCGACCGAGGGAUAGUUGAUUUCCACUUCCUAAAAUUUGUAUUUAGAAGACUUCAUCUUCUCUGGGCCCUGUAUUUGGAAUUGGGUUCUGUGAGGAAGUCAAGAUUGAUGGGGUCGUAGGUCAAGGUUAAUAAGGGCAUAGAUGUGGAUCCUUGACCCAAUCUGGUGAAUGUCCUUACAGAAAGGAGAAGGGACAGUGGAUGCUCUCCUUCCAAGGAUGACCACGUGAGGUACACGGUGAAGGGAACCACCUUGAAGCUACGGAGAGAGGCCUCAGAAGAUGACAGCAGGAAACACCAUCACCCUGGUCACCGAUCUCCUCGAAGGCCUCAGAAUGAUGAGAAUGCAGACUAGCCUUGUAGGAUUGACCACUGGCCCACACGUGCUGCUUGAACUUCAUAGCUUGCAUGGAGAAGAGGAUGGUAUCAACACCCUUCACCACCUUGGUUCCCUGAAAGGGAACCAAGUUUGCUGAGUCCUUUUCAUGGGAGAGCCUGCUUCCUGCUGGGUCUGAUCAACACUCCCAACAGAAGAACAGAACUUAUCUCACAGCCCAGCCGUUCCAUGUCCACAUAUGUCAUACCAGGGAAACUCCAGGCCCAACAUGUGCUGAUAAUGAUCUUAUUGUGACAGACCCAGAUGCUCAUCGACAGUAUCAGGGUGAGUAGAUCCCACUGAGCAUGCUGAGUUCAGCCAGCAUAGAUACUGAGGAAUGACAGUGCUCGGAACAAACAUGGGUAAGUCCUUAGGCGGGAAAGUCUAGUCAGAGAGCAUGUGGGGGUGAUGUUGGAAGCCGAUGAAAUCUAAGAGCAUACCCUUUGGGAUUGCAAGACCAGAAAAGUGCAAAGGAGGGGCUAGACAAAGCUAAUGAACAUUGUUAGGAAAGGGACGUUGGAAGGAGCUGGAACGAUCAGCUUCUUCACGUGUAUCUCAAACUGUGCGUAGCACACACAUGUAACUGAACACGUAUGGAGAGACCAGACACACAAUAGCUCUUCUCCAGAGCCCCAACUCCAACCCUACUGUUAGGAGAUGCAGGAGACGGACUGAGCUAAGGGAUAGUGGGGGCACCCCUUGUCCCUCUCAGCCUCCUGGUGCAGCCAGUAACCCAGAGAGCUGGAGGAGCCAUUAUGUUCUGUGUCAUUGCUAAGUGAAGGGAACGUGAAGCCUCUUUGCUGAGUGCCAGCAAUUAGCCAGCAAUCGGCAAACGUGAUUAGCAAGGGGAGCCCCUUCUGAUGGGCCUGCCACAUCGCUGGCCGUCUGUCUGCUGUCUUUUCUCAUUUACAACCCCAUCUCCCUCUCUAAUUUGGGGCCAAAAGGUAAUUGGGAGUUGAGUGUGGCUGCAUGGUGACCUGAGACAGUCCCGGUGGGAUGUGAAGAGGCGAGAACAUUGCAGGCAC
rnacentral:sRNA from 1 species